GGCUGGAGCAUGAGGAACUACUUAAAGUUGUUUGCAGUAACUUCCAUUCAAAACUGGAACUAUCACACAGCUGCUGCACGUGUCACAGAACGGAGAUUUAUUUGAGCUUCAGUGAUCUGCAGAAUGCGCCAAAGACCUCGCGGAGUGGGAAUACAGUGUCUCUUCCUCAGGCUGUUAUUGGCAAACAGUGUCUCCCAGCUGGGGCAUAUUGGUCCGCAGGCACUAUAUGGUGACGUGUUGAGCAUGAGGGCCAGCAUCUCCACCACAGAGAGAGGGAGGAAAAGGGAAACGUCAAAGAGAUUCAUCAAGGGCCUUUUGAAAGGUCAAGGAGCAGAGCACUAAUAUGUGGAAAGGGCUUGGGGUUGAUGCAAGUUCUGUCCAACACAAGCUCAUAUUUCGGGGAGGGGGCGAGACGGAGUUUAUCCUGGUCAAGAAGAAGCGGACCGGUCAGAGUGCUAGAGGAGAUGCCCCCCAUUCAGCAAGGGGACAGUCAUACCAACUGUGCCACUAUCAGCUUUCAGGGGGACCUCCACCACAGCCCAGUAAGGACUCGUAACACUACCAUUAUUUCUAGUUUUCCAGAUGAUCUGGACUCCAUCAUCAUUCGAUCCCAAACAAGAAAUCUACAUAAUCUAUACAGCAAUGCAGGAUAAACGUCACCCUCCAUGCUGCAUUCCCAAUUGCCCGGAUGUCUUGGAAAUCCAGUUCUCCAUUCUCUAGCUCCCUCCAUGUUUUCUCUUUCUCCAUCCCCCCUGCUGAAUUCUGCUUGCCAUGCUCCACGGCUGUAGUCGAAUACUGAGAGGGCAUCCUUGACACCACGGAGAAGGGGUGUGCAGAUGAUGAGAAUAACUGUACUGAAUCUGUCAUGACGAGUGCCAGGGAGAAUGUACCUGUGAUGCGAGAGAAAUUACGUGAUCAAACAGAGAUAGGGUGGAGGGUACCAUGCAUUAAAACUACAUUUCUCUACUUC